rnacentral:rRNA from 1 species
UACGGAGGGAGCUAGCGUUGUUCGGAGUUACUGGGCGUAAAGCGCACGUAGGCGGCUUUUCAAGUCAGGGGUGAAAUCCCGGGGCUCAACCUCGGAACUGCCCUUGAAACUGGAAAGCUAGAAUCCUGGAGAGGCGAGUGGAAUUCCGAGUGUAGAGGUGAAAUUCGUAGAUAUUCGGAAGAACACCAGUGGCGAAGGCGGCUCACUGGCCCGGUACUGACGCUGAGGCACGGAAGCGUGGGGAGCAAACAGGAUUAGAUACCCUGGUAGU